ensembl:ncRNA C03E10.9 ncRNA
ACUCCCACUUUAACGCAUGUCAUCCAGUGCAGACAUUGGCUAAUGACGAAUCCCAGUAAAAGUGUAAUCGGACUGCGAUCGAAUAAAAAGCGAAAACCAAUCGAGAGUGCGUCGAUGACAUGCGGACAGGAAAAAUAGGGAAGAAGC